ACCACCACAGCUUCCGUGGCAGCCAGACCAAUCGCUUAUAAAACCUCCUUCCCUUUUGAUUUCGAAAACGAUUCCUCUGCUUCGUGAAAUCACUUGGCAGUCAGACCCAAUUGCUUAUAAAACCUCCUCUCGAUCCCUUCCAUGGUAUUUCGUGCAUACUGUCUCUGAAUAUCCGAUUCCCUUUUGAUUUCGAAAACGAUUCCUCUGCUUCGUGAAAGACUUGCUAUCUGUUUUCUUCUUCAUUCGGAUUUCAGUUUUUUUUUUCCUGCUGUUCUAGGUGUUCGUUGAUGGUCAUCCAAAAAAGUUUCGUUCCUUGAGCGACUCGUACCGAGGUUUCUGAAACUUACCAAGCUUCUUAUUUUUUCACUCCGGUCUCUCUCGUGUCUUCUUUGUUUCUGGCCCCCCCUCUCAGUUUACUUUUCUAUCGAUUCAGUGACCCGAUCAAGUGAGGGUUUAUCAUCCUCAAAGAAUUUACAGUCGGAACCAAGAGAGCUCCGUCACCCACCAAAUUACCGCAGAUCCAGUCUGAUCUUGAACCGGAUCCAAGCCGGAGAUUCAACCUUAACAACAAGCAACGGGCGAUAUUUGCAAACCAUUGGAAGUCCCUGUGGUCUUGUCUGGGUAGCCAAAUACUUUUUAAGGCCAGAACCAUCGGAAGUCUCUGUGGCCUUGUGACGUUGUUUGUUUAAUUUGUUGGGGAUCCAAUGGUGAAACCUUUCUCGAGAAACACCAGACUUGAGAACCGUUCUAAGGAACCACUGAAGGUUGUUAAGGAAGUGGAAUAUGGCGAAUUUCCAGAAACGGUACUAACAAUCCCACCGGGUGAGCACAGUUACAUGUGCUACGACACUUUGGGGAUUGAAUACAAUGGCGGACGUCUAGUAAAAGUGCUUUUUUACAUGGGAGACCAGCAGACGAAACGUAUAUCGACAUCGCAGAUAAGGGAUCAUGAGAAAAUCAUAUUCUUCAAACAUAAGGAUGGAACAAUCGACCACAAUCUUAUCAAGGGGAGUAUGAUCCAGAUGAACGGGAUAGUUAUCUCGAUGAAAGGCGCGUUGAAAAAGAUCAAGUCAUUGCUGAAGUAGAUUGGUUUCGAAUAUCCACGUUGGUGUGAUUGAACAUGACGACGACAAGCAUUCUACGUGAGUUCUUUAGCUUCAUGGACUCGUUUGUAACUAGUCUGUGUUUGUACCAGAUUCAUGGGAAGAGUAAGUAAAAAAAGAAAAAGAAAAAGGGUGGUCAAAUCCGGUUUGCUGAAAUGUCCUCUCCACCCUCCCGUACGUUUGGAUUAUGUUUUUAUAUAAUUUUAAAUUGGUCGUAUGACUCAUAUUAGCAAUCUAAUGUGAACAUAAGAAAUUCUGAUGCCCAAACGUUACAUCUUACAACGUAUUUACAAUUACAGACAUUUAUUAAUAAUUAAUAAUGAUUUAGAUUAUCAUCCA